GCGGACGUGGCGGAAUUGGUAGACGUGCCAGACUUAGGAUCUGGUGCCUUACGGCAUGGGGGUUCGAGUCCCUUCGUCCGCA
rnacentral:tRNA from 2 species